ACACCGGCAGCUCAGGUGGUGGCCAUUAUUAUUGGGCCUAAAGCGUUCGUAGCCGGCCUGAUAAGUCUCUGGUGAAAUCCUAUAGCUUAACUAUGGGAAUUGCUGGAGAUACUAUCAGGCUUGAGGUCGGGAGAGGUUAGGGGUACUCCCAGGGUAGGGGUGAAAUCCUAUAAUCCUGGGAGGACCACCUGCGGCGAAGGCGCCUAACUGGAACGAAUCUGACGGUGAGUAACGAAAGCCAGGGGCGCGAACCGGAUUAGAUACCCGGGUAGUCCUGGCCGUAAACGAUGCGAACUUGGUGUUGGAAUGGCUUCGAGCUGCUCCAGUGCCGAAGGGAAGCUGUUAAGUUCGCCGCCUGGGAAGUACGGUCGCAAGACUGAA
rnacentral:rRNA from 1 species